ACGUAGGGACCAAGCGUUGUUCGGAUUUACUGGGCGUAAAGGGCGCGUAGGCGGCAAUUCAAGUCAUCUGUGAAAUCUCCGGGCUUAACUCGGAACGGUCAGAUGAUACUGCUUUGCUAGAGUGCGGAAGGGGCAAUCGGAAUUCUUGGUGUAGCGGUGAAAUGCGUAGAUAUCAAGAGGAACACCUGAGGUGAAGACGGGUUGCUGGGCCGACACUGACGCUGAGUGCGCGAAAGCCAGGGGAGCAAACGGGAUUAGAUACCCCGGUAGUCCUGGCCCUAAACGAUGAAUACUUGGUGUCUGGAGUCUUUAAUGCUCCGGGUGCCGUCGCUAACGUUUUUAGUAUUCCGCCUGGGGAGUACGCUCGCAAGAGUG
rnacentral:rRNA from 1 species